rnacentral:pre_miRNA from 1 species
GAACUCCUGACAUUAGGUGAUCCCCCCCACCUCGGGCUCCCAAAGUGCCUGGAUUACAGGCAUGAGUCACCAUGCCCAGCCAAAAUAUUGUUUUAAAUUAGUUGGAUGUGGUGGCCCAUGCCUUUGGUUCUAGCCACUUGCAAGGCUUGAGGUGGGAGGAUUGCCUGAGCCCAGAAGUUC